UGCGAGGGUGGAUUAGAAUCCAAAACCCUUUAACACGAAUUUUCUACAACUGUUUAGGAAUACGAAGUUUAUCGCGUAUCUAUGUAUUUAUUCACUAAAUGAAUAAUGUCGGGCCUUGCAGCUUGAAGAGUGAAGAGACAAAAUGAUAAACUGGAAAUAUACAUUUUCUUGUGUUAAAUAGUUUCUGUGAUCACUUAUUAAAAGGAUGAUCACAAAAGAGGAUUUCAUUCUUUUUUCAAAAUCACUUGAACUUGAAAUCUUGAGCCGCCAGAUGUCGGUGUUACUUUACAGGAGCUGCUUCAGUCUGCUGUCCAUCAGUCUUCUUCUGUCUAGCAGCUGUCUGGAAGAUGCUGACUACUGUCUUUGCCUGUGGGGGUAUGUUUUUUUUUUUGUUUUUUAAGAUGGGUGCAUUUAGAGACAACUCGCCUUAACAAACAUUUCUCAAAUAUUUCCAGCGCACUGACGAGAGACGGCGGGACAUUCCUGCAGAUGAAACAUAAGUUUCUCUUCUCCUAAAUAGGAUGCGAUCUGGCUCUGUAAUCUGUUGUUUUUUAAACCAUGCUGAAGUUCUGUAGUAUAUGGGGAAGGUUUUCGCUGUUAUAUUAGAAUUUCGUUAGUUAUAUUAUAUUAGGAUACUACAAGUUCGUUGUGAAAUAUUAUUGACGGAACGUUCUCUUGCGGCUCGUGCACAGUCUUCAAACACGAGCGCUUCAAUAUUGCUUAAUGACGUUGCUGAGACUAUCUAUUAAUUCUGGUUAAAUCACAAAACAAAAUAGUGUCCCUGCUCUUGAGGCACGA
ensembl:lncRNA